AUUGAACGCUGGCGGCAGGCCUAACACAUGCAAGUCGAACGAGUGGCGGACGGGUGAGUAUUGUCUGGGCAACUGCCCGAUGGAGGGGGAUAACUACUGGAAACGGUAGCUAAUACCGCAUACCAUCGGAUGUUCCCAGAUGGGUUUAGCUAGUUGGUGGGGUAACGGCUCACCUGGGCGACGAUCCCUAGCUGGUCUGAGAGGAGUACCGGCCACACUGGAACUGAGACACGGUCCGGACUCCUACGGGGGGCAGCGGUGGGGAAUAUUGCACAAUGGGCGCAAGCCGGCUGCAGCCAGGCGGCGUGUAUGAAGAGGGCUUUCGAGUUGUAAAGUACUUUCAGCGAGGAGGCGGUACUCGCAGAGAAAGCACCGGCUAACUCCGUGCCAGCAGCCGCGGUAAUUC
rnacentral:rRNA from 1 species